AAUCUUCCACAAUGGACGAAAGUCUGAUGGAGCGACGUCGCGUGAUUGAUGAAGUACUUCGGUAUGUAAAGAUCUUUUAUGAGUGAAGAAGUUUAUUGACAUUAGCUCAUGAAUAAGGGGUUGCUAAACUCGUGCCAGCAGCAGCGGUAAUACGAGUACCCCAAGCGUUAUCCGGAAUCAUUGGGCGUAAAGGGUGCGUAGGUGGCAGUAUUAGUCUUUUGUUAAAUCUCGGGGCUCAACCCCGAUCCUGCAAAAGAAACGGUACAGCUAGAGGAUGUGAGAGGUGUACGGAACUCAUGGUGUAGGGGUGAAAUCCGUUGAUAUCAUGGGGAACACCAAAUGCGAAGGCAGUACACUAGCACACUCCUGACACUGAGGCACGAAAGCGUGGGUAGCGAAUGGGAUUAGAUACCCCAGUAGUCCACGCCCUAAACGAUGAUAACUGGCUUUUCGGAGUAUCGACCCUCUGAGAGGCGAAGCUAACGCGUUAAGUUAUCCGCCUGGGAAGUACGGCCGCAAGGCUAAAACUCAAAGGAAUAGACGGGGAUUCGCACAAGCGGUGGAUCAUGUGGUUUAAUUCGAUGAUACACGAAGAACCUCACCAAGACUUGAAACUGAAGUGACGAUUUUAGGAAACUAGAAUUUUCUCACAAGGACUCUUCAGCAGGUACUGCAUGGCCGUCGUCAGUUCGUGGCUUGAGCUGUUCCCUUAAGUGGGGAAACGAACGCAACCCUCAUCGUCUGUUAUACGUGUCAGGCGAGACUGCCUCUUUCAUGAGGAGGAAGGAGAGGAUGACGCCAGGUCAGCAUGGUCCUUUGAUGUCUUGGGCUACACACAUGAUACAAUGGCUACUACAGCGGGUCGCGACGGGGUAACCCUGAGCUAAUCCUCAAAGGUAGCCUAAGUUCGGAUUGAGGUCUGAAACUCGACCUCAUGAAGUUGGAAUCGCUAGUAAUGGUAGGUCAGCUAUACUACCGUGAAUACGUUCUCGAAUCUUGUACUCACCGCCCGUCAAUGCAAGGGAGCCGGGAGUGCCCGAAGUGCGUGCUUGUCACGUCCUACGGUAAACUCGGUAACAGGGCAUAAGUCGUAACAAGGCACGGCUAGCGGAAGCUGGUCGUG
rnacentral:rRNA from 1 species